UACGUAGGGUGCGAGCGUUGUCCGGAAUUAUUGGGCGUAAAGAGCUCGUAGGCGGUUUGUCACGUCUGCUGUGAAAUCCCGAGGCUCAACCUCGGGCCUGCAGUGGGUACGGGCAGACUGGAGUGCGGUAGGGGAGAAUGGAAUUCCUGGUGUAGCGGUGGAAUGCGCAGAUAUCAGGAGGAACACCGAUGGCGAAGGCAGUUCUCUGGGCCGUAACUGACGCUGAGGAGCGAAAGCGUGGGGAGCAAACAGG
rnacentral:rRNA from 1 species